CGUCAAAGACAAAAUGCCGGCUUCGGCCUGGGGGCUGGGGGGGUACAGGUCUGAGGACUGCACCGCGACUCUGCCCACCCCUCUUCUGCUCAACACCCUCCUCUCCCACAAGGAUUCGCGCGCGUCCUCGGGCCCCUUACACUUCGCGACAGGAAGACUGAGGCCGAAGGGAAGCGAACGCUUCUCAGACGUGGUGGCCGGACUGAGACUUUUUCAAACUAAAGGCGCUGAGCCCUGGAACAGUCCCUGAAAAACCCCCUGCACGAGAGAGAAUAUGUCUCAGAGCCUGCCUCCCAGAAAACCCAGCCCGUGAGGGGGAGCACGGGAGGCACUUGCUGUGCGUCCUGCUGACGGAAUGACCCAGGAGAGGGGGAGAGCUCCUAGGUGCCCUGCUGCCUGACCAGCUUCAGAAGGCCACAGGCUCCCACAACAGGUGAACACCACGUGCUCACUAUGCACGGGGACCUUCAAGCAGGGGGCGAGCAGUCUCCGUUCCCAGGGUACCAGCCUUGCCCUGCCCGGAGGCUGCUGCUAGCAAGCCCAGGAAAACAGCACGUCGGGGCCAAGAGUUCCAGCCGGGCUGGAAACAUUAGAAGGGACCGAGGCAGCGAGAUGUCUAAAAUAGGAAGACGCCGGGAAGAUUGGCCUGGCUGCCGGCGACGCUGGCUGCGGGGAUCUGGCCCGGCUGUGCAGACGGAAAAGCUAAGAGCCUAGGCUGGACUGAGCCGGGGAGCCAGAAGCCUAAAAGAAGAAUUGAAACCCACGGAUCUGAAAGCUGGAAGAGUGUACGUACAAGGAGCCAUCUGGUCAGCAGAACCGGGAAAGCCUUUGCAGAGGAGGGGCCAGCCCAACUGGACGGUGAGGGAUGAAGAGGAGUUCGCCACGGCAGACGUAAGGGGUAAGGGCAGGCAACACGACUGCAAGGCAUACCCAACAUUCUGGGCCAGGAGGGCUUUCAAGUUCUUUUCUGUCCUGCGUUCUGAUUUUCUAGCUGAAUCCUGCUGUUAAAGCCUAAAUGGAGCCCAUGGGGAGCCCACAGUGUCCAGCUCCUCCCGGGUCUCUGAGCUGACCCAGAAUAGCCCGUUUCUAGAGCACAAACAGAUGGAGGCCAGGGGUCCGUCCUGGAGCAUCCUGGCUGGCUUGCUCGGGCGAGGACAGCUAAGCUGAGCGGGUCCAAAUCCCAGCUCCCCGUUUACCAGCAAGUGACUCCGCUUCUCAGUGCUUUUGUUUCCUCAUCUGUAAUUGUAGGAUAAGGACGGUCCCAGGUCCCCAGAGGGCUGGCAGGAGAACCGAGUUAAUGCAGAUGGAACUUACAACACUCUUCCCUCCUCCUCUCCUCUCUCCCUCUGCUUUCUCCCCUCCU